GGUGGAGGCUGCCCGUGAGGGGCAGCCCGGGCCCGUGAGGGGCAGCUCGGGCCCGGGCCCGGGCCCUCAGCGGGGCAGCUCCGGCACCGGGCCGGCCCCCGAGCGGGACACAGCCUCGGGACAGCUGGGGAGAGCCACAGCGACACGAGAUGGUGCCAGCAAGCAGCAGCAGCAGCAUCCAUCUGUGGAACAUUACUUGGGUGUUGCUUCCACAAGAGAAAUAUCACAGGUCCUGAGCUGAUACUUGUGUGUGCAGAAUGCUGUGGAGGCUCAGGGCUGGGCACUCAAAUUCCAGCCCAACUAUCCACUCCUGUUCCAGCCCCUGCCUGUGGGGUCUUUGCCCCUUGUUUUAGGGCCAUGUCACAGAUUUCUGAUGGUAUCUACAGAAUCUGCUCCUGUCUUGGGCUUGCGGAAGAUGUGCACAGUUUCCUUUCUGUGUGGCACAAACCUCUGAUUUUGGAAGAAAAAAAGAGUUUAAAUCACUUAAAUCACCCAGUCACUUUGCAUCCUGCAGUGGAAUAAGAAAGGUCAGGCAAUAAUUUUUGUUCAAAAAGAAGACUUCAGUAGAUGGAUUAGGUUUAUUUAAUAGUAAAGAAAAGGUCAUGGAUUUUAUUCUUUUAUUCUCACGUAAAUUGGUUUUGUAAAGUUGAAGUUGGUUUAUCAGCAUUUGUGUUCUAUUGCUUUGUUAUUUCAGUACUGGAGAAAAGGUCAUCUUCUUGCUGGGUGUCUGAUAUUCCAUGGUCCAUUAAAACUGCAUUAUUUCUGCUGAA